UCGCCUUCAGUGCAGGCUAAAGUUUCUUGUUCGCAAAUUAAACAGUACCUUUGGUGUACAUUUUUCUCUUCAUUUCUUCAUCUCCAAAUGUGCUUUAGUCUUAACCUAGAGGGACCACCUGUGAGUGAGAGGGUAGUUUAGUCUCCAUGCUUAUUCACUCCUUGGUCUCU
ensembl:misc_RNA